UUGAGGUGUAAAAUUUGAUUAUAUAUAGUUUACUUGAGUAUUACGAGCUGUGGAUGUUAUUUGCACAAAGAUCUUAAAACUCAAAAGACUUGGCGGUAUCUUAGGUCCUUCUAGGGGAACCUGUCCUGUAAUCGAUAGUCCACGAUUUAUCUUUCCUUUCCUUGAAAAUAGUCAGCUUGUAUACCGUCGUCGUCAGAUUACCUUUAAGAGUUAAAUAAGUUAUCAGAUGGAGGACUGUUGUUGGCACUUGUUUUAGCCUUAAUAGGCUGGAGCUAGUGUUGGAGGCAAUUUUCUAGAUGUCAGAUCAAGGUGCAGCCUAUGGAGGGGUAGAGAUGGGUUACAAUAAUUAUUUAUUAUUUACGGAUUUCUUAUUGAAAUUAUAAGAGCUAAAGGCGGACUUAGAAGUAAUUAAUAAGAAAAAUAGAAAGUUUCGGUGAAAAUGGCACUAAGAUGUG
rnacentral:rRNA from 1 species